ACCCGAAGUGGUCACGGUGACAACACAACCCAGGGAGGUGGUGACACCCAAGGUGGUCGCGGUGACACCCGAAGUCGCGGUGGCACCCGAAGUCGCGGUGACAACGCAACCCAGGGAAGUGGUGACGGUGACACCCAAGGUGGUGACGGUGACAUCCGAGGUGGUCGCGGUGACACCCGAAGUCGCGGUGACAACGCAACCCAGGGAGGUGGUGACGGUGACACCCAAGGUGGUGACGGUGACACCCAAGGUGGUCGCGGUGACAACGCAACCCGGGGAGGUGGUGACGGUGACACCCGAGGUGGUCGCGGUGACGCUCAACGCGUCAUCGCUCCCCCCUCACGCGUCACCGCGACCGCCACAACCGGAGGAGGUGUUCUUGGGGACAACGCGACCCGGGGUUGUAGCGUUGCCCGGGACGACGGUGACGCCGCCGGUGACAACGUGCCCGCCCGAGGGGGGACGGGUGACACCCGCAGGCACCUCCUGCCCGCGGUUGUUGCCGUCACCCGCUCCGCGGCCCUACAACGUCACCGCACACUGACAACCGGACAGUCACCCUGUUGUCCGGGUGACACGGUACGACUGUCGCCUCCGCUUCGAGGUGACACCUGGAGAUGGUCACCGUUGCGCGGGUGUCGCGUGGCACGGUGACACCCACGGAUUCGGGGACGCUUUGGAGGACCGUCACCGCGGUAACGGCGCCGCGGUGGCACCGAGCACCCAUGGGUGCCCCUACCUCACCCUCAGGGACCCCCCCCUCAUUCUCAGGGGGGGAGUCACGCCGGUAUUUAUAGGUUUCUAUUUAUUGAAGAUUAUUUAACGGUCGGGUAUUUAAUAUUUAACACUAUUUAUUUUUGGGGGGGGCCGUUUCGCCCCGAUUUUGGGUAAUUUAUUACAGGAACGGUUGUUUACAA